rnacentral:tRNA from 1 species
GGGGUUGUGGCUCAGUGGUAGAGCCCUUGCCUAGCAUGUGCAUGAGGCCCUGGGUUCGAUCCUCAGCACCACA